rnacentral:rRNA from 1 species
UACGUAGGGGGCAAGCGUUGUCCGGAUUUACUGGGCGUAAAGCGCGUGUAGGCGGAAGCGCAAGUCCGGUGUGAAAGCCCCCGGCUCAACCGGGGAAGGUCGCUGGAAACUGCGCUUCUUGAGGACGGCAGAGGGAAGUGGAAUUGCUGGUGUAGCGGUGAAAUGCGUAGAGAUCAGCAGGAACACCCGUGGCGAAGGCGGCUUCCUGGGUCGUGCCUGACGCUGAGACGCGAAAGCGUGGGGAGCGAACGGG